rnacentral:rRNA from 1 species
UGGGAAGUGGCGGCGUGCUUAUACAUGCAGUCGAACGAGGUCCAUCCGAUCUUCGGAUUGGUGAAGACCUAGUGGCGAACGGGUGCGUAACACGUGAGAAACCUGCCCCGGUCUCUGGAAUAACAGUUGGAAACGACUGCUAAUACCGGAUGCCGUCGGACCACCGCAUGGUGGACCGACGAAAGGGUUACCGGACCGGGAGGGUCUCGCGGCCUAUCAGCUUGUUGGUGAGGUAACGGCUCACCAAGGCAUCGACGGGUAGCUGGUCUGAGAGGAUGAUCAGCCACACUGGGACUGAGACACGGCCCAGACUCCUACGGGAGGCAGCAGUAGGGAAUAUUGCACAAUGGGCGAAAGCCUGAUGCAGCAACGCCGCGUGCGGGAAGAAGGCCCUAGGGUUGUAAACCGCUUUCAGCAGGGAAGAAAAUGACGGUACCUGCAGAAGAAGGUGCGGCCAACUACGUGCCAGCAGCCGCGGUGACACGUAGGCACCAAGCGUUGUCCGGAUUUAUUGGGCGUAAAGAGCUCGUAGGCGGUUCAGUUAGUCGGGUGUGAAAACUCUGGGCUCAACCCAGAGACGCCACUCGAUACUGCUGUGACUAGAGUGCGGUAGGGGAGCGGGGAAUUCCUAGUGUAGCGGUGAAAUGCGCAGAUAUUAGGAGGAACACCAGUGGCGAAGGCGCCGCUCUGGGCCGUAACUGAUGCUGAGGAGCGAAAGCGUGGGUAGCAAACAGGAUUAGAUACCCUGGUAGUCCACGCCGUAAACGUUGGGCACUAGGUGUGGGUCUCAACCAACGAGAUCCGCGCCGUCGCUAACGCAUUAAGUGCCCCGCCUGGGGAGUACGGCCGCAAGGCUAAAACUCAAAGGAAUUGACGGGGGCCCGCACAAGCAGCGGAGCGUGUUGCUUAAUUCGAUGCAACGCGAAGAACCUUACCUGGGUUUGACAUGUAGGGAAAAGCUCUAGAGAUAGGGUGUCCUUCGGGGCCUUACACAGGUGGUGCAUGCUGUCGUCAGCUCGUGUCGUGAGAUGUGGGUAGUCCCGCACGAGCGCACCCUUAUCCUAUGUUGCCAGCAUUAGUUGGGGACCUCGUA